AAUAUCCUUUUAACAAAUUAUGCGUAUUUAAGGAAAUAGGGCUGCGCAUGCGCAGAACGUAUCUCCUUACCUUUGCACUUUUUGGUAAGAAGAUGUUAAUAAAAGUUGUUCGUGUUGAUGAGGGCUACAACUUUGCUUAAUAUCCUUUUAACAAAUUAUGCGUAUUUAAGAAGAUAAGGCUGCGCAUGCGCAGAACGUAUCUCCUUACCUUUGCACUUUUUGGUAAGAAGAUGUU
rnacentral:miRNA from 1 species